UACGAAGGGGGCUAGCGUUGUUCGGAUUUACUGGGCGUAAAGCGCGCGCAGGCGGUCCUUCAAGUCAGGGGUGAAAGCCCAGAGCUCAACUCUGGAACUGCCUUUGAGACUGUAGGACUUGGGUAUGGGAGAGGUGAGUGGAAUUCCGAGUGUAGAGGUGAAAUUCGUAGAUAUUCGGAAGAACACCAGUGGCGAAGGCGGCUCACUGGCCCAUUACCGACGCUCAGGCGCGAUAGCGUGGGGAGCAAACAGGAUUAGAUACCCUGGUAGUCCACGCCGUAAACGAUGGAUGCUAGCCGUUGGUAAGCAUGCUUAUCAGUGGCGCAGCUAACGCAUUAAGCAUCCCGCCUGGGGAGUACGGCCGCAAGGUUGAA
rnacentral:rRNA from 1 species